rnacentral:rRNA from 1 species
ACGGAAGGCAGCAGUGGGGAAUAUUGCACAAUGGGGGAAACCCUGAUGCAGCGACGCCGCGUGAGUGAAGAAGUUAUUCGUAAUGUAAAGCUCUAUCAGCAGGGAAGAAAAUGACGGUACCUGACUAAGAAGCCCCGGCUAACUACGUGCCAGCAGCCGCGGUAAUACGUAGGGGGCAAGCGUUAUCCGGAUUUACUGGGUGUAAAGGGAGCGUAGACGGCUGAGUAAGUCUGAAGUGAAAGCCCGCGGCUCAGCUGCGGAACUGCUUUGGAAACUAUUCAGCUUGAGUACCGGAGGGGUAAGCGGAAUUCCUAGUGUAGCGGUGAAAUGCGUAGAUAUUAGGAGGAACACCGGUGGCGAAGGCGGCUUACUGGACGGUAACUGACGUUGAGGCUCGAAAGCGUGGGGAGCAAACAGGAUUAGAUACCCUGGUA